rnacentral:rRNA from 1 species
UACAGAGGGGGCAAGCGUUGUUCGGAAUUACUGGGCGUAAAGCGUGCGCAGGCGGCUUUGCAAGACAGAUGUGAAAUCCCCGGGCUUAACCUGGGAACUGCAUUUGUGACUGCAUGGCUGGAGUGCGGCAGAGGGGGAUGGAAUUCCGCGUGUAGCAGUGAAAUGCGUAGAUAUGCGGAGGAACACCGAUGGCGAAGGCAAUCCCCUGGGCCUGCACUGACGCUCAUGCACGAAAGCGUGGGGAGCAAACAGG